rnacentral:rRNA from 1 species
GACGAACGCUGGCGGCGUGCUUAACACAUGCAAGUCGAGCGGAGCGGCGAACGGGUGAGUAACGCGGGAGUAACUGCCCCCCUCUCUGGGAUAACAGUUGGAAACGGCUGCCAAUACCUGAUAGUGGGGGAUGACUCGCGCCCUAUCAGCUUGUCGGUGAGGUAGUGGCCUACCAAGGCGACGACGGGUAGCCGGCCUGAGAGGGCGACCGGCCACCAUGGGCUGAGAUACGGCCCAAACUCCUACGGGGGGCAACGGUGGGGAAUAUGACACACUGGGGGAAACCCUGUUACAGCAGCGCCGCGUGCGAGAUGACGGCCUUCGGGUUGUAAACCGCUUUCGGCCAUGACGCGGUAGUGGCAGAAGAAGCACCGGCUAACUACGUGCCAGCAGCCGCGGUAAUUC